rnacentral:rRNA from 1 species
AGUGGCGGACGGGUGAGUAACGCGUGAAAAUCUGCCUUGGGGUCGGGGACAACCACUGGAAACGGUGGCUAAUACCGGAUAAGCCGAUUGGUGAAAGAUUUAUUGCCCGAAGAGGAGCUCGCGUCUGAUUAGCUAGUUGGUGAGGUAAGAGCUCACCAAGGCAGCGAUCAGUAGCUGGUCUGAGAGGACGAUCAGCCACACUGGGACUGAGACACGGCCCAGACUCCUACGGGAGGCAGCAGUGGGGAAUUUUCCGCAAUGGGCGAAAGCCUGACGGAGCAAGACCGCGUGAGGGAGGAAGGCUCUUGGGUUGUAAACCUCUUUUCUCAGGGAAGAAGCUCUGACGGUACCUGAGGAAUCAGCCUCGGCUAACUCCGUGCCAGCAGCCGCGGUAAUACGGAGGAGGCAAGCGUUAUCCGGAAUUAUUGGGCGUAAAGCGUCCGCAGGUGGCGAUUCAAGUCUGCUGUCAAAGCACGGGGCUUAACUCCGUAAAGGCAGUGGAAACUGAAUAGCUAGAGUGCCGUAGGGGUAGAGGGAAUUCCCGGUGUAGCGGUGAAAUGCGUAGAGAUCGGGAAGAACAUCGGUGGCGAAAGCGCUCUACUGGACGGCAACUGACACUCAGGGACGAAAGCUAGGGGAGCGAAUGGGAUUAGAUACCCC